GACAGAGGCCUCAAGCGUUAGGCGGAAUCACUGGGCUUAAAGCGUGUGUAGGCGGAUCGUUAAGUGUCUUGUGAAAUCCCACGGCUCACCCGUGGAACUGCUGGGCAUACUGGCGAUCUUGGGCCAACUAGGGCAGCCGGAACAAGCGGUGGAGCGGUGAAAUGCGUAGAUAUCGCUUGGAACGCCGAAGGUGAAAACAGGCUGCUGGGGUUGUGCCGACGCUGAGACACGAAAGCCCAGGGGAGCAAACGGG
rnacentral:rRNA from 1 species